rnacentral:rRNA from 1 species
UACGUAGGGUGCGAGCGUUGUCCGGAAUUACUGGGUGUAAAGGGAGCGUAGGCGGGACUGCAAGUCAGAUGUGAAAACUAUAGGCUUAACCUAUAGACUGCAUUUGAAACUGUGGUUCUUGAGUGAAGUAGAGGAUGGCGGAAUUCCUAGUGUAGCGGUGAAAUGCGUAGAUAUUAGGAGGAACACCAGUGGCGAAGGCGGCCAUCUGGGCUUUUACUGACGCUGAGGCUCGAAAGCGUGGGGAGCAAACAGG